rnacentral:rRNA from 1 species
UUACGGGAGGCACCAGUAGGGAUUUUUCCCCAAUGGAGGAAAUUCUGACGGAGCAACGCCGCGUGAGUGAUGAAGGUUUUCGGUUCGUAAAGUUCUGUUGUUAGGGAAGACCAAGUGCAAGAGUAACAGCUGCACCUGACGGACCUACCA